rnacentral:rRNA from 1 species
UACAGAGGGGGCAAGCGUUGUUCGGAAUUACUGGGCGUAAAGGGCGCGUAGGCGGCCUUCUAAGUCGAACGUGAAAUCCCCGGGCUCAACCCGGGAACUGCGUCCGAUACUGGAAGGCUUGAAUCCGGGAGAGGGAUGUGGAAUUCCAGGUGUAGCGGUGAAAUGCGUAGAUAUCUGGAGGAACACCGGUGGCGAAGGCGGCAUCCUGGACCAAUUCUGACGCUGAGGAGCGAAAGCCAGGGGAGCAAAGCGGG